rnacentral:rRNA from 1 species
AUGGCCUCCUUCCUUGUUGAAUGCCUUGGAUGGCUCAUCGUCGUCCUCUUUUCCAUGUACAUUUUCCAGCUACUCCGUGACGCUCGCCGCCGCCUUCCCCCGGGCCCCUGGCCGCCGAAGCCUAUCAUCGGCGACCUCCUCGACCUCGGGGAGGACGGCCAGCAGCACCGCGCGUUCCUGCGCCUGGCCGACCGCUACGGCGGCCUCAUGUGCCUCCGCUUCGGCAUGGUGCCCCACGUGAUCAUCUCCACGCCAGACGCCCUGCGCGCCGUGUUCGGCGGGGAAGGCAAGAAGGUGGACAACAUCGCCGGCCUCCCGAGCCUGGACGUCCUCAGCGCCAUGGGCCACCGCGCCCACACCAUCUUCGCGCUCCCGAGCCAGGACGGCAAGUGGCGCGCGAUCCGCAAGUUCGCCGCCGCAGAGAUGCUGGCUCCCAGGCGGAUCUCCGCCGGGGCCGGGGCGCUGCUGCAGACCAAGAUCGUUGAGGCGCUGCACCGAGAGGUGUCGGGCCACGCCGCGCGCGGCACCGCCGUCGUGUUCAGGCACGCGGUGCUCGACUCCAUCCUGAGCCUGCUGCUGGGGGUGCUCUACUCCACCGACCUGGAGCCCAAGGAACGGGCCGUGUUCAGGGACAUCAUCGAGGAUAUCGUUGGGAUGCUCGGCACGGCUAACGUCUCCGACAUAUUCCCGCCGAUCGCCGCGCUCGACCUCCAGGGCCUGCGACGCAGGAUGACGAACCUCUUCGCCAUCAUGUACCGCCACUUCGACGACCAGGUGGCUCUACGGCUGCGUAGCCGGGAAGCCGGAGAGGCGCCCAAGAAGGACGUGCUGGACACGGUCCUCGAUAAGGACGGCGAAUGGAAGCAGGAGGGGUCUCUGCUAAGCCAUGAUGUCAUGAGAGCACUCCUCUCCGAUUUGUACGGCGCCGGAGCAAGCACGACAGCGGCUCUCAUCGAGUGGGGAAUGGUGGAUCUGCUUCAGAACCCAGAGGUGAUGCGCAAGGUCAAGGAGGAGCUCGCUACGGUUCUUGGCGACAAACCGCUCAUGGAAGAAUCCGACAUUGCCCGGCUCCCAUACCUCCAAGUCGUCGUCAAAGAGAUCCUUCGUCUGCGGAUGGUGGUGCCGCUGGUACCUCGCAAAGCGGAGGCUGACAUCGAGGUGAAUGGCUACAGGAUCCCUAAGGGCACCAACGUGAUCCUCAACGCGUGGGCGAUCAACCGGAGCGCCGACGCAUGGUCGGAUCCGGACAAGUUCGUCCCCGAGAGGUUCAUCGGCGGCGAGACCAAGAACUUCCAGCUGGGGCAGGACUUUGACAUGAUACCAUUCGGUCUUGGCCGACGCAUCUGCCCCGGGAUGCCGCUUGCACAGAAGCUGAUACCGCUGAUUCUUGGCACGCUGCUCCAUCGGUUCGAGUGGGAGCUUCCUGCGGAGGUCAAGGAGGCUGGGAUAGACAUGACAGAGAAGUGUGGGGUGGUGUUAUCUCUAGUCACCCCCCUUACAGCCAUACCCAAGGAAAUAUGA